rnacentral:rRNA from 1 species
UACGAGAGGCCCAAACGUUAUUCGGAUUUACUGGGCUUAAAGAGUUCGUAGGCGGCUUGGAAAGUGGGGUGUGAAAGCCCUCGGCUCAACCGAGGAAUUGCGCUCCAAACUGCCGAGCUUGAGGAAGCUAGAGGUGAGCAGAACUGAUGGUGGAGCGGUGAAAUGCGUAGAUAUCGAGAGGAACACCAGUGGCGAAGGCGAGUCCCUGGACAACUCCUGACACUGAGGCACGAAAGCUAGGGGAGCAAACAGG